rnacentral:lncRNA from 1 species
UUUAACCAAAAGAGCAUGGGCAGAUAUUUCCCGGAUCUGAACAGGAAUAGCUGGUGUCUGGACUCUAUGAAGAAUCUUCAUGUGCAGUGAUAGAAGAAUAAACACAUUUGAACCAAGUUCACCAUGGAGAGAGUGAGUGGGUUGGGGAAAAGGUGUUGUAUGUUUGAGGAGCGAGGAGAAGGUGUCAAAUAAUCAUCCAGGCAGACUUUUGUAGUGCACAGUGACCGGUGACCAGCAGCAUGUGUUUCCAUAGGCAUCUUCUCUCAGUACCCCAGAAGGUGAAUUGCCAGUGAGUCCUGCCAGGAUGCCCCUCGGUGACUGCACCACCCAGUAAAAAGACAUCCCUUAACUAUGGCAAAACAACAACAACAACGACGACAAAAAACAAAACAAAACAAAACAAAACCCUGCAUCAAUUUGAUAAAUAAUCCUCCCCGUUGA